GACGAACGCUGGCGGCGUGCUUAACACAUGCAAGUCGAACGGAAAGGCCCUGCUUUUGUUUGGUGCUCGAGUGGCUAACGGUUGAGUAACACGUGAUUACCCUGCCCUUGCCUUUGUGAUAACUUCAGGAAACUGGGGCUAAUACCGGAUAGUAGCUCCUGCUGCUUGUUGGUGGUUGGAAAGUUUCGGCGGUUGGGGAUGGACUCGCGGCUUAUCAGCUUGUUGGUGGGGUAGUGGCUUACCAAGGCUUUGGCGGGUUGCCGGCCUGAGAGGGAGACCGGCCACAUGGGGACUGGGAUAGGGGCAAGAGUCAUACGGGAGGAAGAGGUGGGGAAUAUUGCAAAAAGGGCGGAAGCCUGAAGCAGCAACUCCGGGUGCGGGAUGACGGCCUUAGGGGUGGAAACCGCGUUAGCGUGUGAAGAAGAGUGAGUGACGGUAAUGGGUAAAGAAGCACCGGCUAACUACGUG
rnacentral:rRNA from 1 species